UCUCCUGGAAAACGGGUGGUAAUGCCGGAUGCUCCAGUUGACCGCAUGGUCCUCUGGGAAAGCUUUUGCGGUAUGGGAUGGGGUCGCGUCCUAUCAGCUUGAUGGCGGGGUAACGGCCCACCAUGGCUUCGACGGGUAGCCGGCCUGAGAGGGCGACCGGCCACAUUGGGACUGAGAUACGGCCCAGACUCCUACGGGAGGCAGCAGUGGGGAAUAUUGCACAAUGGGCGCAAGCCUGAUGCAGCGACGCCGCGUGCGGGAUGACGGCCUUCGGGUUGUAAACCGCUUUUGACUGGGAGCAAGCCCUUCGGGGUGAGUGUACCUUUCGAAUAAGCACCGGCUAACUACGUGCCAGCAGCCGCGGUAAUACGUAGGGUGCAAGCGUUAUCCGGAAUUAUUGGGCGUAAAGGGCUCGUAGGCGGUUCGUCGCGUCCGGUGUGAAAGUCCAUCGCUUAACGGUGGAUCCGCGCCGGGUACGGGCGGGCUUGAGUGCGGUAGGGGAGACUGGAAUUCCCGGUGUAACGGUGGAAUGUGUAGAUAUC
rnacentral:rRNA from 1 species